rnacentral:tRNA from 1 species
GCACGCGUAGCUCAGUUGGUAAGAGCAUUGGCUAAUUAAGCCAAGGGUCAUAGGUUCAAAUCCUCUCGCGUGCACCA